rnacentral:lncRNA from 1 species
UUGUGUUUUUAUUUAGUGUGUAUUACAUUCAAAAUUUGAAAUUAAAAUGAAAUAUAUUUGUCAUUUGGUAAAAAGUAGUAGCAUGAAACAAUCUUCUGCUUCUUCCACUUGUAUGCCGCUUCCAAAAAUUUAAGAUUUAUCGUCUGUGUUUCUUCUGGGAAUAGGUAGUCAAUAUACUCCUCAUACAUACACCAUACCAUAACAUCACAAUUUCUUGUUAAAAAUAAGAAUUUUGAGAAACAAAAAGGGCAGAAAAGAUACAUACCCAGCUGGAGCAUCCUCAGUUUCUAUGUGCCUUCUCUUUUUUAGUUUCUCAAAGUCGAUAUAUGCCUGUUUCAAAUAGGUAGAAGAUUAAAACAUAUAUAUCUAGUCAAUUCACUACAGAUUUAUUUAUAUCAAACACA